UGGGUUGUGGCUCAGCAGUAGAGUGCUUGACUAGCACGUGUGAGGCCCUGGGUUCAAUCCCCAGCAUCACAU
rnacentral:tRNA from 1 species